GUGAGGUAUAUUGGAUUCAAAUUCAAGAUUUUCAGGUAAUCAGACGCACGUUCUAUCACUUAAGCAACUUCACUUUGACAGUCUAAGAAAAGAAAUAAAUAAACAAAACUUAGUCCAAUAUAAAAGUAUCCAAAUUUUACAUAUAAUGUAAUAGUCAAAAAAAAAAAAAAUAGAGAGUCAUAAUUCUCCAUAACUCACUUUUGUUCCAUCCUGAACAAACAUCGAGCCAAAAUAAAUAAAAAUGCACUAAACCG
rnacentral:lncRNA from 1 species